UACGGAGGGUGCAAGCGUUGUCCGGAUUUAUUGGGCUUAAAGGGUGCGUAGGCGGCCCGUUAAGUCAGUGGUGAAAGCCUCCAGCUCAACUGGAGAACUGCCAUUGAUACUGGCGGGCUUGAGUACAGACGAGGUUGGCGGAAUUGAUUGUGUAGCGGUGAAAUGCAUAGAUACAAUCAAGAACACCGAUUGCGUAGGCAGCUAACUAGGCUGUAACUGACGCUGAGGCACGAAAGCGUGGGGAGCGAACAGG
rnacentral:rRNA from 1 species